rnacentral:rRNA from 1 species
ACGUACGACCAUAGGCGUUGGAAAACUCGGGAUCCCGUCCGCUCUCCCAGAGAUAAGCCAGCGACCGUCAGACUAGUACUCGGGUGGGUGACCACUGGGGAAUCCCUGAUGUUGUACGUG